UAUCAAACAUUCGGUUAGAGAUGUAACGAGGGAACACGUUAGAUAAAUGGGGGUUGCCAGUCCAAAUUAAUGGUGAUAACAUGCUCUGAACGUAACAGAUUUCUGAAUUAAUGAGACAUUCUGUUAAAUACAAUCGGAUCAGCUGCUAUAUCAUCAAAAUAGUUUCUGUCCCAUUCAACCUAUAUAAGUCACCUUCUACCAAGCAGACGAUACGUGAACAAACCAAUAUUCAAAGAAAAUCAGGAUGCGUUUUCUGGGCUUGAUAGUUGUGUGUGUCCUGCUGGCAGUGGUCUCUGUCCACGGAUCCUCUCACGUAGGAGGAGGCACAGUGGGCUCAGGAGGAUCCGGAACCCGGCCCGCUGUCUCCCCAAUUCAGAUCGCCAAUCGAUAUCCACAGUUUCAACCGUACUUCCGACCCAGGCAGAAUUUCUGGAGACCUUUUUUCCUCUGGCACUUAUACGAAGCAUUUGAUUGAUAAACUGGAAAACAAAACAAAAACGUCUUGUGUUGCUCGCAUCAGUAUCUGUGUGCUGUAUGUUUCCCUUCCAGGCCACGUGACAUUAUGUGACGUAACAUUCUACAAGGACAUGUGAAACGUAUAAGUACUGCCGGGAAACCUCGCGUGACCUCGACAGUACGAGAAUGAACAGACAGCACAUGGGCGCCAUAUAUUGUCUGUAUAUUAUAUCUAAUUAACAGUUAUAUUUAUGUAUCAACCGUUAUAGUAAUAAGAAAUAAAAUAUCAUAACCUG